rnacentral:ncRNA from 1 species
AAAUUGAAGAGUUUGAUCAUGGCUCAGAUUGAACGCUGGCGGCAGGCCUAACACAUGCAAGUCGAGCGGAAACGGCAGUAUUGAAGCUUCGGUGGAUUUACUGGACGUCGAGCGGCGGACGGGUGAGUAACGGCUGGGAACCUGCCCUGACGAGGGGGAUAACCGUUGGAAACGACGGCUAAUACCGCAUAAUGUCUACGGACCAAAGGUGGCCUCUGCAUGUAAGCUAUCGCGUUGGGAUGGGCCCAGUUAGGAUUAGCUAGUUGGUAAGGUAAUGGCUUACCAAGGCGACGAUCCUUAGCUGGUUUGAGAGGAUGAUCAGCCACACUGGGACUGAGACACGGCCCAGACUCCUACGGGAGGCAGCAGUGGGGAAUAUUGCACAAUGGGGGAGACCCUGAUGCAGCCAUGCCGCGUGUGUGAAGAAGGCCUUCGGGUUGUAAAGCACUUUCAGCAGUGAGGAAGGUGGUGUACUUAAUACGUGCAUGGCUUGACGUUAGCUGCAGAAGAAGCACCGGCUAACUCCGUGCCAGCAGCCGCGGUAAUACGGAGGGUGCGAGC